UAAGCAUGAAGCCCCCCUCAAGAUGAGAUUUCCCAUAGCGUAAGCUAGUAAGAUCCCUGAAAGAUGAUCAGGUUGAUAGGUUCGAGGUGGAAGCAUGGUGACAUGUGGAGCUGACGAAUACUAAUAGAUCGAGGACUUAACCAUAUAA
rnacentral:rRNA from 1 species